rnacentral:rRNA from 1 species
UUGAACAUGAGAGUUUGAUCCUGGCUCAGAACGAACGCUGGCGGCAGGCCUAACACAUGCAAGUCGGAC